GUAAAAUCCUGUCUUCCUCAGUUAUAAAGGGACAUCAGAAAAGAUCACUGAUGUUGACACAGGAUUCCUGCUGGGAUGAUACUCUAAGGCUGAGCCAUGACUGAAGAAGCCUGAGUAUUGGCUGCCUCAGUGGUAGCUGAAGCCUCGUUGAUCUGGGGGAUCAAGUUUAAAGACUACAGAGUUAUUUUAGACUUGUUGGUGGUAAUCACAUUGGCAGAUGGAAUUGCAUGGACAGCAGGAGAAGCCGAACAUCUGGAACAGAGGGUAUGACAUUGUCAAACUAUCUUUUGGGAAGGUUGUACCAAAUUAGAUGCCUCCAAUCAACAUAAGAGUGUGCCUAUCUUUCAACCCUUCGCCAAUUGUGUUAUCCUUCUUUUUAAUCUUUGUAUAUCAGGUAAAUGAAAAUGAUAUAUUAUCUUCUAAGUUUUUAACUAUGUCAUUCCAAUAGUAAAUAUUAUUUUAUAAUUAUAUUAGCAAUUUGUAAUUAUUUUGGUAAAGUUUCU
rnacentral:lncRNA from 1 species